GUUGGUCUAAACAGUUUAUUUCUUAGAGCGGCAACUAACCUCUAGGCACACACCGGGUACAGGGACAGCAGUAGAUCAUAAACUCGGGAAAACAUUAGUCAUGUGACUUGUUCUUAAGAGAUUUGAAGCACUUCUUUAUUGGACACAGUUGAAGCUCCAAGAGAACACAGCCGGCGAUGCACUUUCACACACCAAAUAAUUGCUGCAGGAUUGUGUUUGAAACAAAAAAAUAGUGCAGUUCUGGUAAGUACAGCUUGUAAAACAGGAGUAUACUUUCACUUUAGGCUCUACUCUGUCAACAUGUUGGGGGUUUACGAAGAGAUGGCAAAGAUGAUGGGAAUCUUUAACCAAAUUUAAAACAUUAUUUAUGUUUAUUUGGAGAAAAUAUUUUGACACGCAGGUAAAAAUGAACAAAUAAUAUAAAAAAACAACACCAAAUGAAAGACCUAAUUCUCAAUGGUCCAAACUUAUUUGAACAGAACUGGACUAAAAUCUGGCCAAUUCUGAAGACAAGGCGUUUAAACUGGAAACAAGCCAUUACUCUGUCAGGUAUAAAAAAUAAUAGAAAAAUGUCUAACAAAUUAUCUUCAAUCACAAUAAAUAAGCAGCAGUCUCAGCUCCUGUAUGCACCAAUACAUCAACUUAACUAGAGAUGACUAAUGAUGCUUCUAUGUUUGUAAGACCCCAUGAUAUGUUCCUUCCCUGGCGCGAGCUAUCAGCCAGUAGUGAUACAGGAAGUAACAUCCACAAGGCUAGCAAUGAAUGAGUUAGGAGAAAAGUUCGUCUCAUAAAUCAACCAGGCACUCGAAGUGGAACAAAGUAGGACAAAGCACCAAAUGUACACUAGAGAAAUAGAGUACCAAGAACCGAGAGUCUCACCACCACGAAUUCAUCUGGCUGGCCGAAGGAAACAAAUCGUACGUUCUGGCGGUCAGCUUAAAUUGAUGAGCAUUUAACCAACCAAGAGAACGCAGAAAGACAGCGCGGUACACUCCCCUGUGUAAUCGUUCACAAAUUUAGUCGUAGAAAUAGCCAGCUAAGAACUUCACGGAGUCUCGCGAGACAAAUCAUGUUUGAAAACCGAGUUUUAACUUAAAUGCUUUCUACAAGUUACGUAAUAGGGGGCUUAAGUUUCAACACAUUUGUCAAGGAGCAUAUCAAUUUAUCAAACAAUAUGUCCUAAACUAGGCUAUGCUGAUCAAACUCCACCACUUCCUUUUAUCAACUCUUAAUUGAAAGCUACAACACUGUACUACUGAGAGAUACUGUAGACCCGACAUUGUAAUCCCACACUUGGACACUGAAACUAUCAUAUACUAAGGGAGAGGUCAAAGUAAUUGGCUUUAAAGAAAUCUACAAGAAACUGAGGUUACUGCAGCGAUGAACACAAGUUGUACUAAUCUCAUGGUCCUGGUGCCCAUACACUUCUCAAUACCUGCCCUAGACAUUUGCUUUCAAAAGCCAGAAAUUCUCAUCAAUAUAUACACCAUGACCUACAUACAAAAUACAUUUAAAAACUGCCCAUGCAUGUUUUCUUAUUUAUGCCCAAUUUUUGGAACAUACAAAAUGAAAACAGACAAGAAACAUUUCCAAUGCACACCCCCCC